rnacentral:lncRNA from 1 species
AGCCGACGCUAGCAUUAGCACCGCUGCCAUCCUCUUCUCUGAUGAGACGCUUCAUGCGAUCGACGAAGUCCUUGUUCCAGAUGAAGUCAUCGGUUGCGGUGACGGGAUCCUCCUGGCCGCCGCCGCCCCAGUACUUUCGGAGCUUGGUGGUGGUUGGCGGUCCUCCGUACUCCCCGGGGGCGACACCCGUGGACCACUUGAGCGGCUUCUUCUUCGGCAGGAUCACCUUCGUCUGCUUAGGAUCGAACGACGACGACGAUGACGAAGGCGAAGGACGGCCAGGUGGCUGAGCGCUGUUCGAUUCUGACGAUGACGGAGCCGCCGCCGACGACCGGACGGCGACGCAGUAGGCCAUCGAGGUGUUGAGGACGGCCAUGGCCACUGCGGAGGAC